rnacentral:tRNA from 1 species
UGUGGAACCUGGUGGGGGCGACAUUCGCCGGAAAAUUCGAUAAUACUGCAAUUUGAGUAACUCACAAAUUUUACCUUAGCCUGAAUGGACCAGUGAAAGUAACGUUCAGUCUAUCUUCUAUCACAUACCCAAAUUUUUAAAGAACGAACUAGUCAAAGACUAGAAAUCAACAUUCACCAUCGCAUGGAUGGAAUGCUCAUUUCUAAGCUUAAUACAAACAGAAGCAGUAGUGGUGGAGCCAAACGGGAUCCAACCGCUGACCUCCGGCGGGCAAGGCAGGCGCUAUCCCUGCUGACCUAUGGCCCCUGAUUUCUACAGGCGUUUCCCACACAAAAUUGGUGGGUCUGGGCAGAUUGCAACUGCCCACCCCACCCUUAUCAGGGGUGCGCUCUAACCAACUGAGCUCCAGACCCAAUUUCGGGGUGCUUCUUUCGUGUUCUUCUUUGAAUCUUGCAAGUCGUGUGGGAACUUAGGGGGCACCUCAUGUGGUCCAUAUAUGAGGUGAUAAAGCCGUAAGUUCACCUACGGCUACCUUGUUUAAUACUUGUAGCAUCUUAUAUUACCUGGGGGAGAGUGGUUAAUUGUUAUGAACAGUUGGGAGGGGGGGGGGGGGGGGGGGGA